AGAUUGAACGCUGGCGGCAUGCCUUACACAUGCAAGUCGAACGGCAGCACGGGAGCAAUCCUGGUGGCGAGUGGCGAACGGGUGAGUAAUACAUCGGAACGUGCCCAAUCGUGGGGGAUAACGCAGCGAAAGCUGUGCUAAUACCGCAUAAGAUCUACGGAUGAAAGCAGGGGAUCGCAAGACCUUGCGCGAAUGGAGCGGCCGAUGGCAGAUUAGGUAGUGGUGAGGUAAAGGCUCACCAAGCCUUCGAUCUGUAGCUGGUCUGAGAGGACGACCAGCCACACUGGGACUGAGACACGGCCAGACUCGUACGGGAGCAGCAGGUGGGAAUUUGGACAGUGGGACGAAGCCUGAUCCGAGCCAUCGCCGCGUGCAGGAUGAA
rnacentral:rRNA from 1 species